GUGCCAGCAGCCGCGGUAAUACGUAGGUGGCAAGCGUUGUCCGGAUUUACUGGGCGUAAAGGGCUUGUAGGCGGUUCGUUAAGUCUGGUGUGAAAUCUCCCGGCUCAACCGGGAGGGGUCAUCGGAUACUGGCGAGCUAGAGGUGGGCAGAGGAAAGCAGAAUUCCCGGUGUAGCGGUGAAAUGCGUAGAUAUCGGGAGGAAUACCAGUGGCGAAGGCGGCUUUCUGGGCCUAUCCUGACGCUGAGGAGCGAAAGCGUGGGGAGCAAACCGGAUUAGAAACCCCAGUAGUCC
rnacentral:rRNA from 1 species